ACCGCUAACUCUGUGCCAGCAGCCGCGGUAAUACAGAGGGGUGCAAGCGUUGUUCGGAAUUAUUGGGCGUAAAGCGCGUGUAGGCGGCUUGGCAAGUCAGAUGUGAAAGCCCAUGGCUUAACCAUGGAAGUGCGUCUGAAACUGCUGAGCUUGAGUGCCGGAGAGGAUGGCGGAAUUCCGCAAGUAGAGGUGAAAUUCGUAGAUAUGCGGAGGAACACCGGUGGCGAAGGCGGCCAUCUGGACGGCAACUGACGCUGAGACGCGAAAGCGUGGGGAGCAAACAGGAUUAGAUACCCUGGUAGUCCACGCUGUAAACGAUGAGAACUAGGUGUCGUGGGUGUUGACCCCCGCGGUGCCGUAGCUAACGCAUUAAGUUCUCCGCCUGGGAAGUACGGUCGCAAGAUUAAAAACUCAAAGGAAUUGACGGGG
rnacentral:rRNA from 1 species